GGUGAGCCCAGCAAGCAGCUGUCCAGGGAAUGGGGGUGACUACCUGCUCUGCAUCUCCCAGAGAGCAGCUGGGAGUGAGGCCCUGGGGCUCAGUUCAGCUCCAAGCAUGAAUCGCCAGUCCAAGGAUAAGCUUCCCUCGGAGCUCCUGUUCUUUUGGAAAACUGCUGACCAUGAUCAGUGACAUAAGAGGGAAAGCCAUCAUGGAAGGAAAAGUCCCCAGGUGAGAUGGCGUGGGCUCAACCCCAACCCGGGGAGAUGAAUGAGGAGCUGACAGUUAAGUCAGCUGAUGGACCACGACACAGAGCGGGAAGAGCAAAGGGGCUGCUGCUUACUCCAGCAUCUUGGAGUGAGUUCUGGACCAUCCCAUCCUGACAGACACAUAGCAGGAACCGGCUGGUUGGCGACUUCAUCUACACCACACAUUCCAGAGGUUUUUGGAUUCGUGAGGAAGGAGAAAUCUUGGUGCUGGACCCGAAAGGAUGUGCUAUGGACAAGAGAAUGUGGGUGAGGAGGCUCGACCUCUGAGGAGCAGCACUCAGCUAUCACCCAUGGCUGGCCCUUGAGUCCCCUAUUUCUCGCUUCUCCACCUGAAACCUCCUUUCUAAGGCAGACCUCAGAUACACUGUGGGAUCAAUUCCUGACUACUGCUAUAAAAUGAAUAUUGCAAUAAAG
ensembl:lncRNA